rnacentral:lncRNA from 1 species
UUUAGAAGAAGAAAAAUUGAAAAAAAAAUUAUUCAACAAAAAAAAAAACUCAUACAAAUUAGCAAUCCGUAUAAGGUUUUUCCAAAAAAAUAUCAUUUUUUGUUAAGAGAAAGAAGAAGAACCAAAGCGCCACGGGAAGUGGAGGAAGAAGAAGGAAAGAAGAAAAACCACAGCUGCGCGGGAAGUGGAGGAAGAAGAAGAAGAACCGCAAGAGGAAGAAGAAGAAACGCAACCACGAAGAAGAAGAAAAACUACAACGAGGAAGAACCACGAACCACCAGGAGAAUGAAGUAGAUUACAAGGAGAAUGAAGAAGACCAUGACAUGCGUCAAGGAGAAUGAAGAAGCAGAAGGAGAUCACCAUGAGGAGGAAGAAGUGCAGCACGAAGGAAGAAGAAGCAUUGUGGCGGGCUAAGAAGAAGACAAAAGAAGAAGAAGCGUCGCGGCAGGAAAUAAAUAGUGACUCAUACGAACGAGUCACUUUAGCUUUUUAUAUCAAAAUGGUGAAGGACGUUUUAGCCCUUUCACCAACGUUGCUAGGUGCCCCAGUAAAACUAUUGAGUGCCCAAAGCAACACUCAUGCUAACAAAAUGAAGGAGAAUGAAGA